ensembl:lncRNA
UCCCUCAUCUUCAUGCAGGAUCUUCUUCCCUUUUUGUUGCUGGAGGACAACAUGAACUCCUCCUGCUAACUCCUGGACCUUUCUUUAGUCCGUCUUUCUGAGCUAUGAGGCCAGCAGAAGCUCCCGUGUAUCCUGCUCUCUGUGGGACAACACCCAUUGCAGUGGGCAGGGGCUGGGUCCCUCUGUGUGAAGAAGCGGCAGAGGAGAACUAGCUAGAAGGGCUGGAAAGGCAUACUGGGGAACCUCCUGCUAUGAUAAGAGCAGUAACUGCUUUUGUAUACCAACCAAAUGGAAACUGAAAACUCUAUAAUAAAACCAACAGUAAGUGACUUUCAGAUCAGAAAACAGGUUUGCAAGACACAGUUUGUGAGCACGCCAUGGAAUGCAAACUGCCUCAUGUUUUUUGGGGUCAGAGGAGGAAGCCAUCCCUCCCAUCUACAAAGAUCAGCUUGGGCAGAUGCUCGCAUCUCCAGCAGGGAGGCCAAACCUCUGAUGACGAUUCUCUUCUUCUGGUCAAAAUGUCAUCUCCAGCAUCUGCUACCUGACCCUAACUGCAGAAGAGAUUUUUCUCCUUUCCUUGUAAACAUCAAUCCCUCACAAUACUGAACAUAAGCUCUAGAUGCAAAAAUUACAAGUAGCAAAGCCGGAGUUUAUUA